rnacentral:rRNA from 1 species
GAUGAACGCUGGCGGCGUGCCUAAUACAUGCAAGUCGAGCGGUAAGGCCCCUUCGGGGGUACACGAGCGGCGGACGGCUGAGUAACACGUAGGAACGUACCCCAAAGUGAGGGAUAAGCACCGGAAACGGUGUCUAAUACCGCAUGUGGUCUUCGGACUAAAGCUCCGGCGCUUUGGGAACGGCCUGCGCAUGAUUAGCUUGUUGGUGAGGUAAUAGCUCACCAAGGCGAUGAUCAUAGCUGGUCUGAGAGGAUGAUCAGCCAGACUGGGACUGAGAACGGCCCAGACUCCUACGGGAGGCAGCAGUAGGGAAUCUUGCACAAUGGGGGAAACCCUGAUGCAGCGACGCCGCGUGGAGGAUGAAGGAUCUAGGUCUGUAAACCCCUUUUUCAGGGAAAGACUUAGGACGGUACCCUGAGAAUAAGGACCGGCUAACUACGUGCCAGCCGCCGCCGUAACAU